CAGCUGGCUAUCCUGCAGCUGCUACUGCUCCUUUUUUUCAUCUUCCUUGUGUUUUACGGCAACAACUACUGCCCCCUACUGUUGACCAGGGAUUUACACUGUAUCACUUUAUACUUUAGUAAGAUAUCAAUAAUUCAUAUCUCUAAAAGGUUGUUAUUAUCAAUAAUGGUAUAUUGCAACAUAAUUGGUAUUCUGCCUAAAGCUACAGAAUAACAGUAAUGUUACUCUCAUAUGCUGAAUAAUAAGCUAUAACUUGAGUUUAGCCAGAAGGCUGCAAACAGCUGGUAGCUCUGUUAAAAGGUAAAGGAAACCUCUAAAGAUCAUAAAUUAGCAUGUUACAUCAUGAAUGCCUAGCAAGCUGUUUCCCCCUGAUUCCAGUCUCUGCGCUACUCUAAGCUUGCAGGCUGCUGACUAGAGCUUCAAAAUUUGGAUAAAAGUGUGAUAUCAAUCUCCUUCUUCUUAAAACUAAACCACCAAACAAAUGUUAUAUUUUCCUAGAUGCCAAACUCACUAAUUGGAGCUUUCAGAGCACAGACCUGGUUAGAAAGAGGAUAUUUUUUUCUCUUUUUUUUACACAGCAGCACAGGCUCAGUGAGUGUGUCACUUCAAACUCAGAUUGACAAUAGAUGAUGGAUUAUCUUUAGCAACAAGAAAUGUAUUUGGCAUAGGGUAAUGGUGUGUGUAAUAGAAAGAAACACAGGGUGAGAGAUCAGGCAGUGCUCAUUUAUUACAACUCAGAUAAUUAAUUUUACACAAAUGCAGCAGUGACACUGAUAUGAUGUUGAAAUAUGAACUCCACAUAAUUAUUGUCUUAGCAAAUCCAGCAUUAAAUUGUUUGUCAGUCUACUCGCCUCUCAUUCAUCCUCAUUCUUAAAUCCCGCUCCUUACAUUUUCUCUCUCCUCCUGUUUACCUCCACAUCUUUCUCCCAUCCUCUGACUAUUUCUGGCUGUCCAUCUGUCUGUUUUCAGACACACAAGAACACGCGCAUAAAUAUUCUCCCCCACACACAAACAUGCACACAAGCAUUCAAAUCCCCACAGUACUCUCAGCUCAUAUCACAGCCCGAGAUCCCCAAAGACAUUAGAGUUUGUAAUGUUCAUCUCUACUUCAUUUCAUCUCAGCUCAUCUUUCUUUUUUUUCCUGACAGAUUUCCUCCUAAUCGCUCUGCUAAUCAUUUUCAUAUUAACACUACUGUGACAAAAGUUUCAGCUGUUAGAGCCCUGAUAAUUUCUUUAUCUUGUUUAAGACAAAGCCUGAAAACCUUCGCACACUCCCUCCUCAUUCUGCGCUAACAACAUCAAUUUGUUGAUUACUAUUAUGGCAGGAAAUUAAAAAGGUGACGCUUGUAUUUUGUGGGUUAUUGAGUCUGUAGAGAUGAACUCUUUCAUUUAAAAGUCAGGCGCACUACAGUGACCCUCGGUUCACACUCUGCACUAGUGUCAGGAGAACAGGAUAUUAGCAAGCUUGUGAUAACAACAGAACUUAGGUUUUGUUCGUAGCACAACAAGUCGCUGUGAGAAAACCGCUCUGAUGGGAUGCCUUAAGGGCCCUGAAGAAUUUCAGACUGAUGCAGUUGAGACAGGCCGUCAGGUUCUUUAAUAGAGGAAGAUCUACCUAUUCUUGUUUUCUCAAUACAGCCCUGUGUUGCACAGGCUGUCUGGUCCAUCAGCCUGCCCAUCCUUUUGAAGCUUGAUUUAUACGCAGCUUAAAAGCGAGUGCAGCCUGAAAGACUGACCUUGAGGCCAAAAAGUCCCUGCAGGGUUAGUUGCUAGCUCGACCUCAGCAGCAAACUUUUCAGCGGAGAAUUGGGAAAGAAAAGGAGACAUAGAUAACAGCCUUAGGUUUGAGCACCAGGUUAAAAUGAUGUGGGUGGUUUCGAGUGAUAUGUUUGCUUUGAUGGACAUCUUCAGCUUCUCUUUGUUCGUAGACAGAUUGUGUCUGUAUCAUUCUCCCUGUUUAAAGAUGUUGGCAAAACUUAAGACAGUGAAAUACCAUGUUCCUUUGCAUCCAAGAAUAAGUGUUCAAAAGGAAAGUCACUGGCUUCCAACCUUGUUUUCUGACUACUCAAAACAAAAUACUUGUGAUCUCAGGAGAAGGGCCAACCUUCACCCAGGGAUGGACCUCCAAGAAGCAUUUGUUGCAUGAUUUGAGUGAUUUGUCGAGCCCCAAAGGGAACACUAACAAAGGAAGAUCUAGCUGUCUUGCUGAUACUUAAAUACCUUCUCCUUGUGGCCAGGAAUAACAUUUUGUUAACAGGAAUAAAAUUAAAGAUUCACAGACUUGUCAUGACAGGAAAAAACUUUUAACCUGCUAUAAAUAUGGGAGAAUACAAUGAACAAUGUUGUGAAUCAUGCCUGUGUUUGAUAAAUCUACAUAUCUACAGUGAAAAAGAAGUGCUUUCUCUUUUUUUACCACUUUUUUUUAGAGUGACAACAGCAUUUGGUUUCUAUUCUUGUAAUAUUUGAAUAUCUCAUAUGAAAUAAAUGCAAAAUUUAUCAAACAAACGGACACAAUGACCAUAUCUUCUGCAUACUCAGAUUAAUAUACAUGCACAUCCUGCUUUUCCAUCAUGAGGUCUGUGUGCACUGUGGAGCAUUGGUAAAGAUUUGUCCAGCAGAUGGCACUGUGGGACCUGCCUUCUGACAAUGGGGGGAUUAUUUCACAAUAACACUCAGACCUCAAGAUACUGCCACACCAUCAAGGUCUGCUGAGGAGCCUUGGAGCGAGAGGAAGGAGCAGUGCUAAUGUUGAAUCAUUUUGUUAUUCUAAUUGCCUCCUUGUUUAUGCAUCCACAGGUUUUAGCCCCACCUGAUUUUAUGCAGUCAGAAAUUGUGAGAUGUUCUUUUUUAUGUUAUUUUCUUUUUUUGGUGUGUGAGUGUGUGUGUGUGUGUGUGUGUGUGUGUGUGUGUGUGUGUGUGUGUGUGUGUGUGUGUGUGAGAGAUAGAGAGAGAGUGCACCCCCACUCAUCACUGUGGCCACAAAGGAUAAGUGUGAAUGAGUGCCUGUUUAUAUGCCACUGUGCAGCUUGUGGGGAUGUCAGUCUGGGCCUUUGCAUGUGUAUGUUUGUGGUUGGGUGUGUUUGCUGUACACUCACCCUCUAAUGGAUAUCCCCAUUUGGCUUACCAUUUAGAAUUGGAGAGCAGCCAGUUGAAGACACUCCCCCCCCCCCAGACUCGCUCUCUCAUUCUCUCUCUUUCUCUCUCUCUGUCUCUCUCUCAUACCCCAUCUCUCUGUCUGUCUUUCUCUGUCUCCCUCUCUUUGGACAAUUGGAUUAGCGCAGAGUGAUAGAGACUUAAGACAGAAUCUCUCGGCUGCAGCCAGUACCUUGGCCUCAUGCCACAUUUGAUGCACACAUACCCGUACACAUAAACGCCACAUGCGAAAUCACACCAACCCGCUGCUGCUGUUGUUCUUCCCCAAGGCUAAGCUAGUUAGUUUGAUAUCCAGAUGGCUUAAUUACUACAUGCUUAUAGACAGUCACACUCGUGAUUGUGUAUGUGUGCAUUUGUCUGUUGUACUUGAAGGAGACUGCUUUGAUGUUGGCUGUGACUUUAUGCAGGCCGAAUGUAAAAUUAUGCACAAGCAUAAAUGCAUAAGAAUGACAGAAUAAUGAGGGGAAGGAUGGAUUUUGAUGCAGGUUAAGGUUUUUCUAGUCUUUUUCAACUAGGAGCACACGAGAAGAAUGAAGAAACAAAGACGGGCAAAGAUUUCUUGAGUGUUUUUGAAAAAUAACAUAUUUAUCCAUAUUAAAGGUCUUUACAUACCGGGGCCGACACAAAUAUAGAACGCAAAAUCAUGAAAUAUUUGGAGGUGAAUUUUGACACGCCAGACUAUACACAUCAAGCCCGACAUGAUUUUGCGACUUUCCUGGGGGGGAAAGACCCAUCCCGGGGAAGACUUUACCGGUGGAAAAGCCCAACAGUCAGCACUUAAAGCCAAUCGGAGGCGAAGGAGGGCAUCCCGGUUGGAAGCGAAAAGACAAUUAAUGGAGUCUACUUCAACUUCAAGUGAUGGCGAAUUGGUACUCCUUUUGCUUUGACAAAAGAAAAAGAAACGUAGCUCAUGGGUGCAUCCAAUAUUACAAAAAAGAAGAGAACUUGGUGAGUUUCACUGCUUGGUUCAGGAGCUGAAACUCUACCAUGGUCGCUGAUUGUUUUCAGUUCUAGUUAGACACUAGUGUUGAGAUGGCUUUCUGACAUGAUAGCAAAUACUGAGUCGGGGGCAGUACCAGAUGAGCACAUUUAACUAUGGUAACAACCGGUAGCUAACGUUAGCACAGAUGAAAGUUAAAACAAAGACGUUUAGCAAACUGUUAAAGCACACAAACCAUCGUCAUAUGAGAGAUCUGACACUAUGACUCUCUACAAAUUGUCCUACAGGUCGUUAUAUUUGUAAUGUGUGUGUCUUUUAUCAAAAAGCACUCUGUUUUCCGACACGUAAACAAUCAGCCAGUUGGAUAUGUUGGAUAUGUUGGAUAUACCGGUGAAUCAGACGUCACAACAACACGCAAUCUGAUUGGUCAGAAGUGGACACACAGUAUGCGAAACUUUGGAAAAAUCACCUAUGAUCCAAAUAAAUUACAGCUGCAAUAUCGCAGAACAGGAAAACGUCUCUCAUGUGAAUACUUGUAUUGACAGGAUACGGGUUCAAAAAAAAUAUUGACAUCAGAAAUAAUCGCACGACAAAAAUGGUCCCGGUGUGAAAGGACCUUUAAAGGCAAAUCAGUGUCAAGACUGUGGUGACAGAGAAUCAAAGCUGAGGUAGGCUAACCAAAAAAUAAUAUGUGUGAAUCAAAGGCUGUCAUCAGUAAAUCACUUUUUUGUGGACUUUUUACACUUGUAGUAUAGAGCUGGAGUGGACUCUUCAGCAGAAAUGUCUGUUUCAUGUGCUGGAUUUGCCUGGAUAGAGUCCCAGAUGGCAAAGAGGACUCCUCUGAUUGCGGACUUUGUUUUGUUGAUAUCAAAACGAUAUGAUUUUGAAUGAAUCCACAACCUCAGUGAAAAGAUUCAAAUACAAUAUACAAGCAGAGAGAGUAAACAGAUUUUAAAAAUUCAUACAGCAGCUAAACUUGGUGCAGCAUUAGUAAGCGCACUUUUUCACUUGCUGGGAAUUGCUGGACACUUCUUGCUCUCUUCACACAUCAGCUCGCUCCAGCAUUAAAUGGGCUUUCUUCUUGGUGGCUGGCAGGAUAAAGCCUGUGAAGUGUCUGGUUCAUUUUAAUUUUGUUCAUUUUUGGUCCCAUAUGCAGUUCCAUUGGGUAACUUCUGGGCUUGUUUGGGAGUAGGCGAUGUGUGAAAAGAGGCCAGAUAGAGGAUAGAUAUGGAGGGUUUGUAAACAUUGUGCUGUCAUGACAUCGGUGACAGGAUCAUAACACUGAGGAGCCAAGAGAGAAAUGCUGGACACACCAAAGUGGCAAACUCCAGUUUUGUAAAACAAAGCCAAUGUGCAAGUACAAAAUAAUCUCCUCAAUCUUUCACUUCAUGCUACUUCAAAGAGCCAAGACCUCCCUUUUCAGCCACACGUUUUAAUGCUUAACUUUAGGGUUAAAUGAUCAUGUUUGCAGCCGAGGUCAGCCUCAUUUUUUAUUCAUACUUACUGCUAGGGAUGAUUUUUUUUAAUGACUCAAAACCAGACAAAAGGCUGACAGUUUUUCAUGACUCUGUAUAAACAGGGUCAGGGCUGAGGUGAAAAGUGGGCAUAUUGUGGCUGUUUAGCAGGAGGCUAACAGUCUGUUCCAGCUCUACCAGCUCUCUGUCCAUGCUCAGGUUAAUCAACAGUAAAGUUGAGUCAGCAUUAGCGAAACAAAAACCAGCCUGAAUGGGCUUUAAAACUCAUCUUGGAAAACCACCAGCUGAUGCCACAGAGAUGACCAUGUUUUAAACAGUCAACGGUCAGAGAGCAGCGAACAGACAAAAGUGAGAAUAGAAUAGAAUAGAAUAUCUUUAUCGUUAUUGUACAUGUACGACGAAAUUGAGUACAAACUUUGUUAGUGCAAUAACGACAUACAAAACAUACAAAAAACAUACAAAAAACAUACAAAAAACGAGCACACACAGGGCAUAUUAAACUCUGGUAAAGUGCGUUACUUGCAGUUAAGAGCCAUUAUUGCUUGCAGGUAAAAAACUGCUUUUUUAAAGCUGCACUAUGUGGUGUAACUAUUUCCUGGCUGUAGUUGGGCAAUUGCAAAUUGCAGCAUAGUAAAGAAAGCUGAAAUCCAGGGCCACACCCUUGGCUUUAGCAGUCCAGAUUUAGGAAAGAGGGGAAAAAAGUCGUUUUAAAGACUUCAAAAAAGCUUUGGAAAACUAAACAACUCUGAACAGUCAACCCAAAAAAUAAAUAAAAAAAUAAAAAAAUAAAGUGCAUCUGAGUCAAAACAUUUAAUUGUCUUUGGUUGCAAAAGGGAGUCCAGAAUCCAGUAUGAAAAUGGGAAAAAAGUAACACUAGUAAGUGUAAUACUGUGUUAAUAUGAAAAAUAAAAAAAUCUAAUAAGACUGUUUAAAAAAAAAUCCUUGUUCGCUGUAUUUGUACAUUCCAUGUGGUUCAUAUUGUAAAUUGAAGUCUGUAUCUGGUGAAAUAAACAAUAAAGAAGGGUAUUCUUCAGGGCAUGGACACUGUAUCAACCCCUAAAAUAAACCAUUUCAGGUUAAAUUGCAUCACUUGAGGCUUUAAAGUAGUCGUCCAUGAAACACUGAGUGAAUCACCAUGGCAAGAUCCAUUUCCUGUGUGUAGCAUAUUAUAUACUCAGUUUUCAGAGAAGAAGAAGAGUAAAGAGUGUGGUGAAAUAAAACAAUUUUUUACUGUGAAUUUAUUCUGAACAUCCACACCAAUCUUUAUAUCUUGGAAUUUUGCAUUAUAAAUGAGAUUUCGCAGCCCUAUUUCCAUUCAGGAAUCCCAGGGAUAAAAUAAUUUAAACUGAAGUGUUAAAGGAGAAGCAGAAAAAUGAGGCUAUGUAUGAGUGGAGGAAAAAAAGACAAUGCUACUGAGAGUGGGUUGCAGACGGAGAGAAAGGUAGUGCAACUGCAGCGAUAUUUCCCUGAUGACCUGUCUCCCCCCCAUGUGACCUACUUCCACUAUGGGUUGCGUCAGAUCCCAUCCACUCAGUAAUUCAUCUCCCUUUUGGUGUAUGUGGGUGUCUGUGAUUGUGUGUGUGUGUGUGUGUGUCUGAGUGUGGAGGCAAGAGAGAGCA